CACGGACUCAAGGUAGCGGACCCACACGCACAGCGGAGACAAGGUUCAGUGCACAACGGGGUUUAUUCGAGCUCGUGGUCAGGCAGGCAAGGGUCGGUACACAGGUAGAUCAUCGGUAGCAGCACAGACGAGGAUAAGGCAAACGGAUGUCAAAAACAGGCAAUGGUCAAACUCACACAGGCAGACGGGAUUAUCACAGGCUGGGCUGGAGACGUGGUCAGGAACGAACAGGAUCAAAACGCACGGCAAGGUAAAGGUAAGAAUGCUGGAAAGUUGAACGGGUGAAUGAACAAACAAUCUGGCAAGGGGCUGGGGUGAGAGGUGGUGCUUAAGUACUAAAUGGUGAUGACUAAAUGACAGACAGGUGAGUAGAUUAGAACCGGGAGCAAGGCUGGCUGAAACUACCAAUGACUGCGACAGGAAGUGGUGACAAAAUAAAACCGGAAAUGAGUGAUUACAGUGACUAAAUGAUCUAGACUGUGACAAUAUGUUGUGUUUUUUUUCUGCAUGCCUAUUGUAAUAAGUGUAUCCUUCCACAGUACCUGACGCGGUGCUCCUGGAAAGCAUUCGGGAACAAUUGCUGAACCCAGAAGGAUGCUUUUUAGUCAACGAGGGCCACGCUGAUGCACCUGCACUACAAUCCAACCCGGAACAACAGAGCUCCUGGCGUCGUCAGGAGGCUCACGUAGACCCUUCACCUAAGGGAACGAGACACAGAUGUCAUUCUUCCUCAUCGGCAUCCUCAUCCCUAUCCUUUGAUUCUGAGUGUCGGAGGCAGGGGAAGAGGGAGAAGGAGGUGUUACUGAGAAGAGAAAGAACCUUGACUGAACAACUGACCGUUUGUCAAGAAGAAGAGAAUGAACUGCCAACCUAUCUUCUUCUAAAUAAAAUGUUGUUGUGUCAUAGGCUGAUUGACUUAGUUUACUUAAAUAAACCAGAUGAGGCAAUAUGUACAUUACCUCAAGUGAGUGGCCUGGCUGGUUGUGUAUUUUACUGCAUAUGGCCUACGACACCUCUGGUCUAAACACUGUCACAAAAAAGAAUAUCUA